UACGUAGGGGGCAAGCGUUGUCCGGAUUUAUUGGGCGUAAAGAGCGUGUAGGCGGUCAGGUAGGUCCGUUGUGAAAACUCGAGGCUCAACCUCGAGACGCCGAUGGAAACCAUCUGACUAGAGUCCGGAAGAGGAGAGUGGAAUUCCUGGUGUAGCGGUGAAAUGCGCAGAUAUCAGGAAGAACACCCGUGGCUAAGGCGGCUCUCUAGUACGGUACUGACGCUGAGACGCGAAAGCGUGGGAGCGAACAGG
rnacentral:rRNA from 1 species